UACGAAGGGCCCAAGCGUUAUCCGGAUUUAUUGGGUUUAAAGGGUGCGUAGGCGGUCUGUUAAGUCAGUGGUGAAAGCUCCGAGCCUAACUCGGAAACUGCCAUUGAUACUGACGGUCUUGAGUACAUUUGAGGUGGGCGGAAUGUGUCAUGUAGCGGUGAAAUGCUUAGAUAUGACACAGAACACCGACUGCGAAGGCAGCUCGCUAAGCUGUAACUGACGCUGAGGCACGAAAGCGUGGGGAGCAAACAGG
rnacentral:rRNA from 1 species